AACUGAUUUGAAAGCACAUUCUCAUUGCUGUGCUGUGACCUGUCUAGAAUAUUUUCUUAGGUGCUGUUACCAAGUGAGCUCAACCAUUUGUCAUUCCCUGAUUGGUGCAUGCUUGUUUGGUCAUUCCCUGAUUGGUGCAUGCUUGUUUUGUGUGGAAGCUUUUAGCUGGAACGUCUUGCCACUGAAGAUCUGACUAAUCUUGGCAUGAGAACCACCCUGCUAUGGAAGCACUGAUCCAACAUCACCUCUUGUAUAGCACGUUUGUGUACACUUUUAAUUACAUUGCUAUUGCUGAGUAUCGUAUGUUUUAUCAUUUUUAAAUGAUAUUUUUAGAAUAUGUUCCUUUUCAUCUGCUUUUUAUUUUCAGUCAUCAAAUAAAAUGUCAAAUUGUUUGAGGUGACUGUUAAGAUUAUGAUAACACAAUUAUUUUGUUUGACUUGAAAUAUUUUUUGUGUGGUGACACAUUUGUGUAUGUGGUGACAUGAUUGUGUAUGUGGUGACACAUUUGUGUAUGUGGUGACAUGAUUGUGUAUGUGGUGACACAUUUGUGUAUGUGGUGACACAUUUGUGUAUGUGGUGACAUGAUUGUGUAUGUGGUGACACAUUUGUGUAUGUGGUGACAUGAUUGUGGUGACACCAUGUACACAUUUGCAAUGAUCACGUGUUCACGGGGAACUGUUGCUGUAACAAAAAUGUACACUUUAUUGGUAAUAAUCUGUACACAUUUUAAAACAUUGUUUUUUUUUCUGCUGGAUAUUAUGUUGACCUCCAUAUUUGACCUUUGUACUGGACAUUAUGUUGACCUACUUAGUUGACCUUUGUACUGGACAUUAUGUUGACCUCGAAUGUUGUUAGCCUACAACAUAUUGAUUAUGUAAAUGUUGUUAGUCUUACAACAGUAAUGAUGUAUCCACUCGAUGAUAUUAUAUUUUGACGUGUAUGUUCCUCUUGAUGUUCACAACUACAACUGAUGUAGUAGUUCGACACAUACGCCUACAUGUCAGUACAUGUUGUCAUAAUAAAAUUGGCUCAAAACACGUU